UAAACUUAAGCCCCUACCCUGGAACUAGUC
rnacentral:piRNA from 1 species